GCUGGGCAGGGUGGCACAUCCCAGCUACUUGGGAGGCUGAGGUGGGAGGAUCUCUUGAGCCCAGGAGUUCUGGGCUGUAGUGCGCUAUGCUGAUUGGGUGUCCGCACUAAGUUCGGCAUCAGUAUGGUAAACUCCCAGGAGCAGGGGACCACCAGGUUGCCUAAGGAGGGGUGAACCGGCCCAGGUCGGAAACGGAGCAGGUCAGAACUCCCAAGCUGAUCAGUAGUGGGAUUGUGCCUGUGAAUAGCCACUGCACUCCAGCCUGGGCAACACAGAGAGACCCCGUCUCUG
ensembl:misc_RNA Metazoa_SRP Metazoan signal recognition particle RNA